rnacentral:misc_RNA from 1 species
UUUUUUUUUUUUUUUUUUUAAUUCGAUGCACCUCGAAUAUAUGUCAACAUUCUGAAUUUCCAAGUAGUGUAUACUUGCAGCAUCUCAAGCGGCUAUCAGCCCAGGCAAUCAUACAAGGGAGCUCCACCUGAGGCCUUAAAUGGUCCUAUGGCCAGAUUAAAGUAGCUGUACCAAGAUUUUUGUCUUCUAGUAACCAGAUGUGGUAUUGCUUUGGAAGCUUCAUUCAUUAUCAUUCAUGAAUACCAGCAGCAUAACUCAAUCAAUUUCUCCCUCUUCUACGUCUUUUCCAGGAUUUGGAACAUUUGAUGGCUCGCCCUCUUCCUCGUCAUCAUCCUGUUUCAUGAACAAACCAAGCUGUUCCAGGGGGUUACUUCCCCCGAACUUAAAACUUCCCAAGCCAUCCUGUGAGUGAUCUGGGCUUGUCUCAUCUACAGAGCUUGGUAAAUGCUCGGGAGCUGCAGUCCUAAGCAUUUCUAAGUCUUCAAGAAACCGAGAGUUCUCAUUAAUUUCAACAGUUUUUUCCAUCUUCAACAAAGCUUGACGUGCCGCUUCUCUUUCAAGCUCCCUCUUCCUCCUAGCCUCAGCUGCAGCUGCUGCCUCAACUUGCCUUCGAGCAUCUUCAGCAGCCUUGGCUUCAGCUUGCAAUCUAGCUUUUUCUUUCUUUUUCUGCAACUCAAGCUCAUCCAUCUCCUGCCUCAGUUUCUCAGGGUCCUUAUCAACCUGCAAAAGCGCCUUUUCUCGAGCUUUUAAUAUUGUAUCAGCAAAUCGGUUCCUCAGCAUUGCAGCCCUGAUGAGCUUCUCAGGGGAAACCUGCCUCCCACUUGGUGCACAGUCCCCAUCUUGACAGCAAUCUGACUCGAGAGAGCUUGGCUUUGGCUGGGAAGUCUGCUCAAGUUGAUCCAACCCACUAACAGAUUCUGGACAUGACUGAUAUAACUCCAACGGAUCACCAGCACUUGCUUUAUCAUCAAAUUGAGCUCCCCAGCCCAGGUUUUCGGGAGCCUUUGUUGCAGCUACUGGAGUCAAAGCUUUAGCAUCAUCAAAUUCACUUUCAGAAGAACUAUCAGAGUCAGAGUCACUGGAACUUCCUGAACUGAUACAUUUACUGCCCUUGUGACCUGCAUCCUUUUCUAUCUCAAAAGGAGGAUAGCUUGAGACCGGACGCUCAUUGCCACCAAUAUCAACCUCCUCAUCACCUGGGUCAUUACCUAGAAAAAAUGAGAAAGCAAAAAUAAAUAAAAGGUUGCUUUAAAUGUGCAAAACAUGACUGUCAGAUUCUACACAUGGAACAAAGUGCAAUAAACAAUGACCUUUUUGUUGUUGCAUGGAUGAAUUGCUUAGCCCAGACACGUUCAACAGCUGCAGCGAGGAAUAAAAAAAAACAUUUCUUGCGAUAAAGGCAACCAAAAACAAAUGAAAGAAAAAUAACUGCUCAACUAAGAGGGUAGGAUACCUCUAUCUCACAAGGUUCCCCCCUUGCUUCAUUCUUUUGUUUCUCUUGCAAAUAGUCAUCUAAAAGCUUCCGCAACAUGAACAAAGUGUCAUCACUGAGAUCAUCAAUAUCUAUCUCAAUUUCGUCCUCUCCAGCACCCCUUCCAUUUGAACUAUGCUCCCUCAAAAAAUCAAUGAUAUUUACAGGCAUUUCUCCCAACAAAUCCUCUAACUCUCUUCCUAAUUUCUGCUUCUCAUCAUCUGUCAUUAUGCGCCUAGCAGGCUCUGGCACAAUUUCAUGUUGAUAUGAAGUUACUUUCCUCUUUUUAAUGGGACAUGUUUCAGUACUUUGCAGGUCUUCAUGAGGGCCUGAAUUUGCCUGCACAGCUUGAGCAUCAGUCUUGGGUAAUUUCUUUUCAAUAGUUUUCCAUCUCACUUCAAAAAAUUUACUAAGCGUAUCAGCCAUGAUGUGUACAUCAUGCCCCUUUGGAUUGUACUCCAUUGCAUUAUUGAAAGUAAGCCUCACAUCAGCAAGAAAUUCCAAUGGGCUUGAGUAUACACCUGAGACUAUCUUCCUUUUUACAGUUCCCAAAUCCAUUGGAUGCUUAAUGAUAGUAAAAUAAUCAGGAAUGUUCAACUUCACUACAUCAACUGGCUCCUUAAAAACCCAUCCAUGCUGAUGAGUCAUCACUCUACCCAACAGUGUCUCACACUGUUUCAUCACCAUCAUAUUUGUACUGAUUGGAACAGGAGCCUGCUUUGCAGACUUGAACCUUCCAGAACUACUCCUAUUCCACUCACGCACUUUGCCUGUAGGGUUGGCUUUCUUCCCUGGCCCAGAGGCCAUCACUGAUGACUUCCUAAAAUUUGCAACCUGAGGCCCAUUUGUCCCAUUGCUACAGCUGAGAAUGUCGCUGGAAGAAGACAUUGCAACAGCAUUUGCUCUCUGCAACUCCACUUUUUUUUGGAGUAUCCUCAACUGUUCAAGUUCAAAUUUCAACCGACGUAUUAAAUCCUUUCUUUCAGAUGGUGACAUGCCUGAUAGAGAAAGGACUUGUAGAGGAACACCAAAAGUGUCCUGUUUAUUGGAAUUUAAGUUAAUGCAUUUCCUUGUCGGAGCACUUGAAUCCUCAGAUGCAGUAAUCUCUGUAUCAAUCCGUCCUGAGCUACCAGAACCCUCCAAUUCACCUGCUGUCUCAAAGGCAUUUCCAUAAAACCUUCCAU